GGCUGGGCAGGACCAGCUCCUCCAACUCCCAACUACCUUAGGCAGCACUUUGGAUCCCAGGUAAGCCCCCCUUCUGAACCUGUUGGUCAGUGUGUCUGUGUGUAUCUAUGUCUGUCAGUGUGUGUGUAUAUGUCUGUCAGUGUGUGUGUGUGUGUAUCUAUGUCUGUCAGUGUGUGUGUGUGUGUGUGUAUGUCUGUCAGUGUGUGUGUGUGUGUAUGUCUGUCAGUGUGUCUGUGUGUAUCUAUGUCUGUCAGUGUGUGUGUGUGUAUGUCUGUCAGUGUGUCUGUGUGUAUCUAUGUCUGUCAGUGUGUCUGUGUGUAUCUAUGUCUGUCAGUGUGUGUGUGUGUAUAUGUCUGUCAGUGUGUGUGUGUGUGUAUCUAUGUCUGUCAGUGUGUGUGUGUAUGUCUGUCAGUGUGUGUGUGUAUGUCUGUCAGUGUGUCUGUGUGUAUCUAUGUCUGUCAGUGUGUGUGUGUGUGUGUGUAUGUCUGUCAGUGUGUGUGUGUAUCUAUCUCUGUCAGUGUGUGUGUGUGUGUAUGUCUGUCAGUGUGUGUGUGUGUAUCUAUGUCUGUCAGUGUGUGUAUGUAUAUGUCUCUGUCCAUGUGUCUGUGUGUAUCUAAAUGUCUGUUAGUGUGUGUGUCUGUCUGUUAGUGUGUCUUUGUGUGUCUUCUUCCCUAUCAUUGUGUAUGUGUGUCUGUAUGUCACUGUGUGUUUAUCUGUAUGUCUGUCAGUGUUUGUGUGUAUCUGUGU